AGGGCUUUCCAGGGAUCUCCUUCCCCACCACCACCCCAAAACUGGCAGAAAGGAAGAGGACAUCCGGUUAGAAACCAGCUUAGUGCUCUGCACCUUCCCUGGAUCACACUCUAGAACUUUUCCACCAAGUGGCUGCUCCACGUCUGUAUACUGCCCAGCUCCUCCAGGAAGACCUCUCAGAUUAAGUGGAAUGCCAGGCAGCAGAGCUGGGGUGCGCAGGCCUCUUCUAUCCACGCAGUUGCGGAGUGUGACAGAUGCUAGCUCCUGUAUGCUUUUGAAUUCAUCUUUGUUCUCCAUCCCCACUGGCCCCCAUCCAGACUCCCACUAAGACCCCUCCCACCAGCGCAGUCCCUUCCCCGCCCCCCACCUCCAGCAGAAUCUCACUUCCUUAUUUUCUCAACACUCCCAGGCCAGGACUCUACACGCCUCCCCCACCCCCACCCCUUUAAGUAAGCCCUGAGCCUUCGCGCUCAGCAUCUCAUUCCUGCCCCCGUGUCCCCUCCAUAGGCCACAGUCAUCACUUACUCCAGCCCCGCUGGAGCGUAAUGCCGAGGCCACAUACCUGCCUCCAGGCUCUCCCCCCACCCAUUCACCACUUUCUAAAACAUAAAUCAUUUCCUAUUUAAAAUCCUUCCAUGGGUUUCCAGCAGCCCUCAGGAUCAAGUGCAAAGUCCUUUUGGGCUCGGGACCUCAUCUUGGGCGCCGGAGCCUGCAGCCACCUCCUCUCCUGGCUCUCUCUCUUCCGCCCCAUGGAACAAUACCAUCCAUUCCCUGCAGUUACUCCCUCUGCUAAAAACCCACACCCCGUUACCUGCCCCAGUCCCCUUCAUGCUUCCUGAGUGGGGUAUCCAGCACCCCGAGGGCCCCAGGAGCACACAUCCGUCAGAGCAUCUCCCCUCGUGAAGGCAAAGACCAGUGCUUGGCAGACAGGAGGCAUAAGGGGGUCCCCGGCGGUGGGUGGAGAAGGCUACAAGCCAGUUGGGGUUCCAGGCCGGGCUUCCGGGUGUAAUAAUAGCUUCCCGGAUGAUACCACACAUCGGUCAAGGGCAGGGCGGACACAGGACGACACCGCUCACCGCUCGGUGUCAGCAGGUAGGGCAGGAGGACAGCGCUGGAAGGGAAGCCUCACAUCUGCACCCAAGGCACGCAGGUCCGGGCCGGAACCCUCUCCUGACUGAGACCAGGAAGCUGCACCCCAAAAGGGGCGCCUGGGUGGCUCAGUCGUUAAGCGUC